rnacentral:rRNA from 1 species
GCUUGUCUCAAAGAUUAAGCCAUGCAUGUCUAAGUAUAAACAAAUCUUGUGAAACUGCGAAUGGCUCAUUAUAUCAGUUAUAGUUUAUUUGAUGGUUCUUGCUACUUGGAUAACCGUAGUAAUUCUAGAGCUAAUACAUGCAUCAAACCCCGACUCACGAAGGGGUGUAUUUAUUAGAUGGAAACCAAUGCGGGGCAACCCGGAUUAUGGUGAUUCAUAAUAACUUUCAGAUCGAUCGCAAGAUCGAUGCAUCAUUCAAGUUUCUGCCCUAUCAGCUUUGGAUGGUAGGGUAUUGGCCUACCAUGGCUUUAACGGGUAACGGAGAAUUAGGGUUCGAUUCCGGAGAGGGAGCCUGAGAGAUGGCUACCACAUCCAAGGAAGGCAGCAGG